CUCUCUGUAGCUCAGUUGGUAGAGCAUGGUGUUUGCAACACCACGGUUGUGGGUUCGAUUCCCAUGGAGGGC
rfam:Salmo salar isolate Sally breed double haploid chromosome ssa03, whole genome shotgun sequence.